CCGCUCCUGGGCCGCGCGGCUGCAGCCGGGAGCGCGGACUCGGGGUGUCGGGCGGUGUCCGCGCCCCUCCCCACCCCAGGGCCCUUCUCGGGGGAGAUAUCCAGGAGCUGAAAGAGAUUCCUCAGGAGGAAGUGGAAACCUCUGAAAGGAGAGGAAACCGACUCUUUUGCAAGAAAACUGAGCGCCGGCUGGAAGGCCUAAGGAAAGCAGCCGAUGGCUCCCAAGACAACUCUGUCCGGCCAGUACUCCAGGGCAACUUCAACCCCACUAGGACCCAGGCCAAAACCAUAUAUAUAUAUAUAUAUAUAUAAAUUAACGCAAAACAGAGCCACUUUGGUGCCUACCCCUCCACAAGUAGGUAGGCACAUCCAGGUAGCUCUGUCAGAAGAUGGGACCUGGCGCCUUGCAGGGGUAGCCCUAUGGAGAUCCAGAAGCCCCGUUUCGAGCUACGAAGUCUCUCUUCUACUGCAGUCUUCUCUCCAACGUGGAGAUCUAGCAACUUCCCUCCCCCUGGGAUUCCCUGUGAAUCCACUCUAGUUGGGAUAUAGCCUCUCUACAGCUCAGUGACGUAGCGCGCCAAAACCAAGUACCCACCCCGGCAACUGGAAGACCUAGCUGUCCUCCAUCCCGCCUCCGCAGUCGAUAAUCUCCAGGAUCCAAGCAAAGUGCCUGUCCACGUUGUCACCAGAUCCACAAGCGCUUUUGAUGAGAGCUGCUACCCUUUUGGAAACACGAUUCCCUCUCCCUAGUAGAGAAGAAUCUAUUCUUCUGGGCUGGCGUAGACAAAGAAUAACCAAGAUAAAGUAUGUGGUGUGAAAAUAUCAGCUGCCUCUUCUUUUUUUGUUUUUGAAACGGAGUCUCGCUCUGUCUCCUAGGGUGGAGUGCAGUGGCACUAUCUCUGCUCACUGCAACUUCCGCCUCCUGGAUUCAAGCGAUUCUCCUACCUCAGCCUCUGGAGUAGCUGGGACUAUAGGCGCCCGCCACCACGCCCGGCUAAUUUUUUGUAUAUUUAGUAGAGACGGGGUGGGGGGGUGUUUCACCAUGUUGGCCAGGCUGGUCACGAACUCCUGACCUCAAAUGAUCGGCCCACCUCGACCUCCCAAAGUGCUGGGAUUACAGGCGUGAGCCACCGCGCGCCGGGUGGAAAACAUUAGCUUCUAAUAGCAGUCUUGGAGUGGAGUGAAGACGUUCAGGAAGUGGUGGAGAUAGGCCUGCUCAAUUAACCGGCCCCAGAUAUCAUUUCUCUGGCUACCUCUUUUCUCGCCUGGCCUGGCCCUCUAUACCGUUUUUUGUUUGUUUGUUUUGUUUUGUUUUUUUUCUGCAAAACGUUUUCUGCUGCAACUUUCUCUUUAUUUAUGCCUUUAUCUUUCUUAAACAAGAGGUCCCUGGAAAUAACUAACUAAGGAGGGGAGAGGAACCCCCUCACCCCCAAUUUCAUGAAUGAGUGCUACAUUCAUGCUGGCCGGGUACCAAGAGCAUCUUUAGAUCUUUAGACCUGAGUCUUCUCAUCUGUGAAAAAGAGGUUAAAGCAGAUGAACCCUAAAGGCCCAUUUCCAGUCUUAAAUUCAACACUUUCAAGACAAAACUUUUCUUCUGUAUUCCUGAG
rnacentral:lncRNA from 10 species